rnacentral:rRNA from 1 species
CGGCCGUGCGGCAAUACUUUGCAAAGGGAUUAAUAAAGAGACUAGACGUAUCUCACCUGCCUGCCGUCUGUUCAAUUUUGUCUGGUUUCGUCGUCCUAAGGGCGUAUCAAUUCAGGAACAAUCGACACGAUUAGAGGAGAUGUAUAAACCUGCGGCCUAGGUCUAGAGUGGUGGGAGCAGAGAGUGAGAGUCUGAUGGCACGAGUGUUCAGGAAAGCUCUAGACUUCGAGUAUCUUGAUCCUCUUUACUCGACCUCUCGUACGAUGACCUUGAAACUUCACUAUCAACUGGAUCCAAAUUAGAAAAGAAGCUUCGUAGAACUCUCCGAUUUCAGACAUUAAAAACCGUGGCACAACAAUAGCUCGUUAUGUAAAAGUCCAAACUCUAGAUUCACUUUUUAAGCCGAGAGCACUUCUAUUACAUUUGGGGGCGUUUAAGGAAACUAAUAAACUAUCGCGAGAGAUGUAAGUCCUACUAACACGUAUACUAUAAGUGUUACUUCAAGAGCUUGCGCGUAUACUUACUCUUCUUCACUCUUAUAAGAGCUUGUGUGUAUACUUACCCUUCUUCACUCCAACUUGCCUAUUUCUGUAUCGUGUUUAUAUAACAAACUUACGACUCUAUAACACAAGUGUGUAUUACUUUAUACCUUUCUAUGUAGGUUUUUUAGACACUUCUGUCUACUUAUUCGUGGUGACGAGACGAACACUCAUAGAUGGAUAUACUCCAGAAGUACAGUUAUACUAUCCAUUCUAGUACACCCUGCGUUGUAACGUAAGGUAGAAAAUAACAAGUUCUUUUUAUAUAGAUAAAGUUCGUGGAGUGUGUAUGUUAAACUUUAAUGAGUGAUGUAAUAACAGAUAAUACAUCACGAAUACUUCUAAUUUUCGAAGUUAAUAGGAUUUAUACCUUGAAGGAAAAAGAAAAACAUCUGCGUAAUUAGACGUACUUCUUUCGCGAUUGUUUAUUAGUUCCUUAAACGUUCCUAAAUGGAAUAGAAGUGUGCUUAACAUAAUAAGUGAAUCUAGAGUUUGUACUUUUAUAUAACAACCUACUGUUAUACUACGGUUUUUAAGACUUGAAAACAGAGAGUUUCAACGAAGUUCCUUUUCGUUUUGGUUCGAUAACGAGCUUUUGUCCCUCCGUCUUAACCUUGACAAUUUUCAUACGUAUCUUUCUUACUAUUUUCAUACUAAGUAAUCAAGACGGCCAUUCAAACAAGUACCGUGUACUGUACGAGGUGAUCAGAAUAAAUUAUCUCAAACACAUGUACAGGUAAAAGUGGAAAUGAGGCUCAAUCCCCUACUCUAGUUCGUAGCAACCAACAAGUAGUUCGUGUCUUCCCAAGGUUACACGACGUCGUUCCGUGUGGAUUUCCAUAUUGAAGAUUCUUGAUCGUACGGUUCGCUUUCUUUCUCCCUUCCAGACUAUGUUUCCUUUCCCAACGUUCUGGACAUAUAAAAAGAUAUGAAUAUCUCCACUGUGUACAAGGGAUUCCAUCCCAUGCGCAGCAACCAAUCGUGUUGUGGUGAUAGACCUAGAAGAUAUCCUGCAGCUGUUAUAUAAAACAAGUAUGUUCUUAGUUGAACAAGGAUUUUUUUGUUUCUUAGUCUAAAGGUCCUUUUUGACUUUGACGAUUUAAAAAGAUGAGACGUAGAAACCCCUAUAUUGCACAAACAAGUCACUGGUCAAAACAUCCAAAACUUCAACCAAUUAAUCUCAACCUUUGUGAUAAGGUAUAUGAAAGACAACUACGGAAAAGAACGAAGGUUUACUUCAAACAGAAUACAUAUUAUUUAAGGCCAAAUAUGGGGAAGGACACUGUAAAAACUGUCCUUAAUGAGAUAAAUUCUCUAAAAGUAGGCAAAAUUGGGUAAAUUUCCUUUAACACGGUGUAAAAUGAAGAUUAAAAAUCGUGCAAGACGAAGAGCCGACAGCCACAUGUGUGCUGUGUGGUGGACCCGACAAAAGGAACCGUCCGCCGUCGACCAAAGGAGGUGCACCGGGAGGGUGGACGGACCAAAUAGGGUUGAACACGGUGACGGGUCGUAGAAAAAAAAAAACCGAAUCCGGAAGUGAAUUUUCUCAAAUAUGAUGGUCAUGGUCGUGGUUGUUAGCUACACAGAAACCGAUUUAAAAACAACUCGUGUACACAAGUAGAUGAAGCUACACUAACUAAAAAAAGAUCUUCCUCCAAAAUGGGUGCCCAAGACGUAGUCCACUACGUGUGCAGGUAAAAUAAUUUGUUUCAUCGUUGCUUCAUGUAUCAAGUUGUGUUCAUAGAUACACAUGUUCAUAACGAUGCUUUUUGAAUUAGAGAAGUUAAAUAGUCGGGAUACUUUUGUUUCAUAUAUACACAUGUUAUAACGAAAACAUGAACCCUCGAGUACCGUAUAUUCCGACAAUCAGAUCAAAACGCACUUGUCAAUGUCCCUUGAUGGAUUUCCCAAGAUUAACUAUAGUGAAUACAAUGAUUGGAACUACGUCUUUACAACCCUUUGACAAUCAAGCCAGACUAACGGAUAGCUGAAGAAUUUAUAUUGAACCUGUGCGCGAGUCCCUUGGAGUCCCCACUGCUCGGUCUUUCUUUCCCGGUGGUUCCGUGAUUUCUAACCGGGGAGAGGAGUAUGAGGAACUGUCAAUAAGAGUGAUCCUAGUCACAGUGAUUACAAUCUCUUUCAUUGUAGAGGAGCUGUUGGGUCUUCAAAGGACCAGGGUAAGAACUGAAGGCAUGCCGGAACCAGAGUUAAAAGAGUGUAUGUAGUAUAACCUUACUGGAAGGACAAAUCAUAUCCCCAACGUAAAAUUCUAACUAUCCGACGAUGAGGGAGCCAGACUAACGAAUAGCUGAAACAUGAUCGAGAUCAUAUUUCAACAUAAUUCGAAAAAAACUCGUUUGUGUUUUAACAUGAUUCGAAUUCUGUGAAUAAAAUCCUAUCUCCCUCAAAAAAAAAGAUCCUUGUUACAACCCUUUGACAAUCAAGCUAGACUAACGAAUAGCUGAAUUUUUUAUAACUGACGAUGAAUAUGUUAGACAGCUCACUCUGAUUAGGAGUUUUUUUUUCAAGGAGUUUUUUUAACCAACGAU